AGUGAACGCUGGCGGUAGGCCUAACACAUGCAAGUCGAACGGCAGCACAGUAAGAGCUUGCUCUUACGGGUGGCGAGUGGCGGACGGGUGAGGAAUACAUCGGAAUCUACUUUUUCGUGGGGGAUAACGUAGGGAAACUUACGCUAAUACCGCAUACGACCUACGGGUGAAAUCAGGGGAUCUUCGGACCUUGCGCGAUUGAAUGAGCCGAUGUCGGAUUAGCUAGUUGGCGGGGUAAAGGCCCACCAAGGCGACGAUCCGUAGCUGGUCUGAGAGGAUGAUCAGCCACACUGGAACUGAGACACGGUCCAGACUCCUACGGGAGGCAGCAGUGGGGAAUAUUGGAAAAUGGGAGAAAGCCUGAUCCAGCCAUACCGCGUGGGUGAAGAAGGCCUUCGGGUUGUAAAGCCCUUUUGUUGGGAAAGAAAAGCAGCAGGUUAAUACCCCGCUGUUCUGACGGUACACAAAGAAUAAGCACCGGAUAACUUC
rnacentral:rRNA from 1 species